GAACGCUGGCGGCGUGCCUAAUACCUGCAGGUCGAGCGAACGGACGAGAAGCUUGCUUCUCUGAUGUUAGCGGCGGACGGGUGAGUAACACGUGGAUAACCUACCUAUAAGACUGGGAUAACUUCGGGAAACCGGAGCUAAUACCGGAUAAUAUUUUGAACCGCAUGGUUCAAAAGUGAAAGACGGUCUUGCUGUCACUUAUAGAUGGAUCCGCGCUGCAUUAGCUAGUUGGUAAGGUAACGGCUUACCAAGGCAACGAUGCAUAGCCGACCUGAGAGGGUGAUCGGCCACACUGGAACUGAGACACGGUCCAGACUCCUACGGGAGGCAGCAGUAGGGAAUCUUCCGCAAUGGGCGAAAGCCUGACGGAGCAACGCCGCGUGAGUGAUGAAGGUCUUCGGAUCGUAAAACUCUGUUAUUAGGGAAGAACAUAUGUGUAAGUAACUGUGCACAUCUUGACGGUACCUAAUCAGAAAGCCACGGCUAACUACGUG
rnacentral:rRNA from 1 species